AAAGAUUAAGCCAUGCAUGUCUAAGUAUAAGCAAUUAUACCGCGAAACUGCGAAUGGCUCAUUAUAUAAGUUAUCGUUUAUUUGAUAGUACCUUACUACUUGGAUAACCGUGGUAAUUCUAGAGCUAAUACAUGCUAAAAAUCCCGACUUCGGAAGGGAUGUAUUUAUUAGAUUAAAAACCAAUGCCCUUCGGGGCUCACUGGUGAUUCAUGAUAACUCCUCGAAUCGCAUGGCCUUGUGCCGGCGAUGGUUCAUUCAAAUUUCUUCCCUAUCAACUUUCGAUGUUUGGGCAUUGGCCAAACAUGGUUG
rnacentral:rRNA from 1 species